AUUCAUCAAUAAAAUAAAUCUACUUAUAGAUUUAUCCCAUUGGCUCUUAUUCAAUUAACAUCAUCAUUGUAUAUUUGUAUCAUACAAUGGAUCACCACACUAAAUAAUAUCUCAUAUAUCCUAUUAUAGAUUUGUUAUACAAGUCUACUUAGAAUAUUUUCUAAGUGACACCCCCACAUUGAAUAAAUGUGACCUCAUUUGUGGAUCUAUCACACAUGCUUACUUGAAUAAUUUUCAAGUGAUAAAGACUCUCACAAUAGAGAAAUAAAUCUC
rnacentral:lncRNA from 1 species